AUUGAACGCUGGCGGAAUGCUUUACACAUGCAAGUCGAACGGCAGCACGGGGCAACCUGGUGGCGAGUGGCGAACGGGUGAGUAAUACAUCGGAACGUGCCCAAUCGUGGGGGAUAACGUAGCGAAAGUUACGCUAAUACCGCAUACGAUCUAUGGAUGAAAGCGGGGGAUCGCAAGACCUCGCGCGAUUGGAGUGGCAGAUAUCAGGUUAGGUAGUUGGUGGGGUAAAGGCCUACCAAGCCGACGAUCUGUAGCUGGUCUGAGAGGACGACCAGCCACACUGGGACUGAGACACGGCCCAGACUCCUACGGGAGGCAGCAGUGGGGAAUUUUGGACAAUGGGCGAAAGCCUGAUCCAGCCACUCCGCGUGCAGGAAGAAGGCCUUCGGGUUGUAAACUGCUUUUGUACGGAACGAAACGCGCUGAGUUAAUACCUCGGCGUAAUGACGGUACCGUAAGAAUAAGCACCGGCUAACUACGUGCCAGCCGCCGCAGUAAUAC
rnacentral:rRNA from 1 species